CCUGGUUCAUAAUCUUGGUGCUCUUGGCCUCUUCUAGAAGGCUAUAAAACCAAAAGUUGAUCUUUUAUUUAUGCUUUUGUCACAAUGGCGGCAAGUUGGCAGAAACCCUUCAUCCUUUCACUUUAAGAAUGUGUCUCUCUCACUGUCUUCUGUGAUGGCCCAAAUACUUCUGGCUUGCUCUGCUCCUCCAGGAUCUCUCCCUCCCUCCCCACCAGACCCCUUUAGAUGAUCCAUAUCCUGUCUUUACGGCUCCUUCCCUGUAUCUCUCAUACCAAAUCCUACAGCUUUCUCAGCCAGAGGUUUCUGUGCCUCCUGCGCCAUUCUCUCCCCAUUCCUCGCCCACAGCAGUCUCUAAUCCUUCCCUUGGCGUCUCUCCCCAAUCUCCAACUUCUCAGUCUUCCCCACCCAAGCCCAUCUGUUUCAUGUGAGGGUUCUUUGUCCCCUUCCCCUGCAUCACCAUUUUCUCUGCCUGUCUCGUGCAUUCCAGCCUUCCGGCAGGCCACAUGAUUGUCAAUAGCCAUGUUGCUACACCUCGUGUAGAGGACAGCCGCCAUCAUGCAAUGGGUCUCAGGGUCAAUGGCCGUCCCCUUGUGGCUCCUUGGGAUCAGCAGCAGCUAUCUGACUGUGGGUCGCAUGAUGACCAGCCGCCAUCUUGUGCCUCCUCAUUAUGGUUUUUAACUUGUUAGACAUCACUGAAGAACCACCUCACUAUGUUACUGGCUGCAGCUAGACUGCUGUGGGUCACAGGGUGACCCGCCAACAGCCUGCCUUUCCUUGUCGCAUGGUGAUGAGUGGCUGUUUCACAGCCAGUCAUUGGAUAAUUGCCCACACAUGCCUAUGGGAUGGUUGGCUGCUCAGUGGCUGCAGCCUUCUCAGCCUCAAUCUCUGCUCCUGCUUUGGGAACAGGCUGGCCCCAUUCCUAAGAGAUUAGCUAAUAUUUACGUUCCUUUUUUUUCCUUUCUGAGCUAUCUCAGAUAUCCAUAAAUUAGGUUCCUUUUCUGGUAUUCUUAUUUCAAGAGAUUUAUUAAUUGAUCUACAAAAAGGUUCACACUAGUCUAUUAUAGUUCAAAUUGGCCAAAUAUAUUUGAGUGCACUCUGAUUUUAUAAGAUGAUUGUCAGCCUAUAUAUCUGUUGUCUGUUUGUCCAGUCUGUUUAUACUGUACAGAUUGUCCAUGUCUGUCCAUUUGUCUGCUCUGUAAACAGCUGUUCCUUUUUAUUUGAGCUCAAUAAUCUUGUUUCCUCCUCUUUUACAUUUUCAGAUAUUUUAACCAAGUGAUCUGAUUUAAAAAGCAUGCUUCCAUCUAGGUUGCCAGUUGGUCAAAAUGAUGCUAAAAUUGGUUAAACAAAAUCUUUUGGGGUGAGGAGACAUUGGACAGGACUUCAAUUGAUGAACAAGAAAGUGGCCACCUGGUAACUUUAACCAGCUCUUAUUCAUUAAUUGGAGGCCCCAAUUGACCGGCGCAGCUCCCCAAUGAGACAGGAAACGCUUCAGCAGUGACACUUGGAGCUCUGAGACAGGUAAACCAAGACAAGAUAGAGCUGCCCGAGCCCCUCCUGGACCAUGCUUCAAGUGCAACAAAGAAGGACAUUGGAUUCAUCGCUGACUGAUCUACUUGGACUUGCUGCUGAAGAUUGGUGGGGCUUGGGACCCACACCCUCCACUAAGGUAUCCUUCUCAGAGCCCCAAGUCCCACUGGAAGUCUCAGUCUAAGAUAUGGGCAUUCACCAAUGAUAAAGUUGUCCUGGCUGAAACACCUGGUACCAGCUUCUACAUGGACAUCAACCAUCAUCCUGUCAACCUUCCUGAAUUCCACUAGGAUGUCCCCUUUAGCAUGAAGUAAUAAGAAAAGAGACUUCGCCCUUUUCCUAACAAUAAAAAGAUGGGAAUGAAAGAUU